ACUAGUUUUUUUUUAUCUUGUGCGUUUGGUAGUUUCUUGCUUGUGGUUUGAUUUUGAAAUGCUUGGAUCUAAGCUUUCUAACGAUGCAUGGUAUGACUGUGCACUGAAAUGAAGGUGUCUGCCUCGUGCUCAGCUGCCUGCAGGCAGACUGCCGGCUUCUAACAUUGAGUCGUCUUGGCAACAUCUUGUAGGUCACACAAUAUUAGGUUAGUUAAUAUGCUGUUAAUUCAAUUAUUUAUUUGGCACACUUCCCACCAGACGGUAUGGCCGUCGAUAAUUUCACACGUGAUACUGCCGCAAAUGUAAAACCCUGUCAUGAACGUGUACAUACCUGGCUCGUGCUUCAUUUGUUAAACCAAGUGUCUAAAAUGUAAGCAUGCAAAUUCACAGAUGUCUCUCCUGAACGUCCCUGAACAGUAUUUAGUUCUACUGAAUGAAUGCAAGUAUGGAUAUUCUUCAGAGUUUCUAAUAUACUGUACUGUAUGUGGGUAGCGGUGCCGACCAUCUGGUCAAAUCCACAACGAGAACGGCUUAUUCAGGGAAGUGGAAACUCGGCUGUCACUCAAGCAGCAGAGUCUUCCUGCCGCAAAGACAUCUCUGCAGCAUUUCUGCUGUGAUUCUGGUCUUUGUAGUGAACCACUGUAAAGAAAGUCAGACGUACAGAAGAUAUGACAGUACGUCAAAAGAGUUUGGAAGUUCGAUUGGAAAAAAAAAAAAAAAAUCCAUUCAGAUGUCAGAAAAUGUUCUGUAGCUCUUCUUCAUUUGUUGAAAAAGCAGAAACGGUCCAAUCACUACAAAGAUGGGACGGUUCAGGCCGCUUGGGGACGAGUCCACCUCUCCGCAGCGGGGACUAGAGGACCGGUAGUGAUGGAGGGAACAAUGAACCGGGGCCCAGAUUCACAGGCGCAUUUGAAGACCCGUUCCAGAGCACGAAAGCCCAGACAAUGCUGGACAGGCUUCCGAGAACAAAUCCCUCAAAGUCCUUGAGUGGUCCGGCCAAAAGCUUGGACUUAAAUCCGUGAUCCGAGCGAAGAUCACAGUGAACCUCGUCCAAUCUGUGAGAGACGGAAGGGACAAAGUGUCCUGAAUCAGGUGAGCAAAGCUGGGAAGAGGCGAAGGAGAGAAACUGCUAAUCUCUGCUACUUGUGCUACUGCAAAUAACUGAAUUUAAAACAAACGGAGACCAUAUUAAAGUGAAUGCAAUUGAUUUUUAUGUUAACAAUGUAUGAAAUGACUCCAGGAAUCUAAAAUCUGGCCUCAGUAUCUUUGCGUUGAGGCAGUGCAUGCCUGUUUAUAUGUACUGUACCAGAUGUUAGCUUGGCUUUUAGCUCGCAGGCUCACAAACUGUUUGUGUCUGUCACUGCCUUUGGUGAGUUAUGGGGACUGUGGCGGGGAGAACGUGGAAGCCAAGACAUGCUCUGAAUUCAAAAGAGUGACAGAUCAGCAAAUCCCAGACCCACUUACUGACUUGAAUCAGACACGUUGCCUAUACAGUCGUGUUCAGACAAGGUGCUCUGCUUUGAUACCUGUCACAGCUCUGCAUGUCACAGGAAAGCAGGGAAGUAUGUAGGAAGUACAGCAGGGAGGUAAAAAAAAGUGAGGAUGACAAAAAACAAGGCGAGUAUUUAUAGCAGCAGCAGCUUCUUGGAUCACUUCAUUGUUGUCGCUCCAGCUAACGGGAGCUAACUGGCUAAAUCUGUUAGCAGCUUCUUGCUGAAGAGUGACAGGAGGCAGCACUGUACAUGUUGUAAAUCACAUUCAGAGACAGUCGUCCAGGAUCCACUGCAGAUAAAAGAGACCCGUCAAGCUGUUCUGCUAUGACAACUGUGGCGGAUCGAAUGGAUGGCACAAAUCAAAGAAGGCAGGUUGAAACCGCAGCUCACACGCUCGACAUGCAGCCAGUGAUACAUGAGAAGGACGGAACGCAAACACAGACACCAGACUGAAGAGGAUCGCGGUGUCAAACCUCGCUGCAGAGCGCCGAGGUAAAAGGUGACAACGCCGAGUAUCAAGUGGUGCUGACUGACGGAAGACGCUGCGAAGAGGCAGAGAACACGGCUCACCUGCGCUCCCCCGGGAAGACGCGCCGCUCGGCUUGAAAACAUUUGCUCUACAUGCACUUGAAGAUUGAAAUGUUGAGGCUCUGAUGCUGCAGCUCCCUUCCGUAGAGGAUGAUCGUCUGCAUCAAGAGCUGAAAUGAAUCUUUUACCCUCUUCUACUGCGAUUGAGAUUGAAUUUGUUGUCAAUAUGUUUAUGGAUAGCUUGUUGUGAGAUUUUUCUUGUUUACAACAUUUUCAACAAACAGCAACUUUAACUGACAGGAUGAAAUAACUGCUUUGGUCCCCACCAACUCCUGAGGUAGAGUUUGUAUAUAUCUGGCACUAGCUACUUACAUUAGCAAACAGUUCACGACUGCGUUCACCGGCUAGUCACUAACUGUAUCUGUCUGCUGUUAAGUUGGUUUGUCAGAGUACACCAGUUCAAUUAAGUUGCUGGACACAGUUUUCAUCAUUCAUCAUGCCACUGUGAUUACAGACUCUUUAACCAGGUGCCUAAACAUAAUGUUUUUCACUCUUUAGUUGCAGAUAUUGCAUUUACAAGAACGAACGGUGUAGGAAGGACGACUGAAAUUUGUUCUCAUACUACAAGUUUCUUAAUUGAAUCAAUAGAAAA